rnacentral:misc_RNA from 1 species
GUGUGUCUUCGCCAGCUCCUGAAAAGAGAUGCACGGAAAAGCUUGUCCAUGGAUCUAGCUCUCUGAAGACUCCAAAGUCCCCUUGGAUGCCUUUCUCAAUGUUGUUUAAUGCCAUUUCAAAAGAAGUUUCUCUCAAUGACAUGAAAUUGGUGAAUGGUCAUUAUGGCUUAUUUAGAGAAAAGAAGAUCAAUAGGGACGAAUUCAUAAGAAGGUUGAGGUCCAUUGUUGGGGAUCCGUUACUGAGGUCUACACUAACGAGUCUCCAGUGCAAGCUACCUCCGAAGUCUCCAUGUACUUUCAAAGUUCCGAAGGAGGAGAAAGAAUGUUGAGGCUGUUGGUAAGAGUCUGUAUUUAGGUGCUUUCACUCGUGGGGGUUACUAAUGUACAUGGUGUCUUACUGUUAUUUUGCCUUUGAAUUUGUCGACCUGCUUUGUGACAUCUCAAUAUAGGCUCUAUGAGACAAAUACUAUUUCUUAUGUACCUCAGUUAAUUACUUAUCU